rnacentral:rRNA from 1 species
GGGGAUAGCCCGGAGAAAUCCGGAUUAAUACCCCAUAAUGCAUUGGUUCCGCAUGGAACUACUUGCUAGAGAUUUAUUGGUUGUGGAUGGGCAUGCGUCUGAUUAGUUAGUUGGUGAGGUAACGGCUCACCAAGGCAACGAUGUCUAGGGGGUCUGAGAGGAUGGUCCCCCACACUGGUACUGAGACACGGACCAGACUCCUACGGGAGGCAGCAGUGAGGAAUAUUGGGCAAUGGACGCAAGUCUGACCCAGCCAUGCCGCGUGCAGGAUGACAGCCCUACGGGUUGUAAACUGCUUUUAUACAGGAAGAAACUCACGCUCGUGAGCGUGGCUGACGGUACUGUAAGAAUAAGCAUCGGCUAACUCCGUGCCGGCAGCCGCGGUAAUACGGAGGAUGCAAGCGUUAUCCGGAUUUAUUGGGUUUAAAGGGUGCGUAGGCGGAAAAUUAAGUCAGUGGUGAAAUCCUUCAGCUUAACUGAAGAACUGCCAUUGAUACUGGUUUUCUUGAGUACAGUUGAGGUGGGCGGAAUGUAUAAUGUAGCGGUGAAAUGCUUAGAUAUUAUACAGAACACCGAUUGCGUAGGCAGCUCACUAAACUGUUACUGACGCUAAGGCACGAAAGCGUGGGGAGCGAACAGGAUUAGAUACCCUGGUAGUCCACGCUGUAAACGAUGAUCAC